UGGCCAGGGUUGCAUUAGCCGGAGCCUUCUAGGGGAGCCAUGUGGCAGAGCUAGGUGCCCAAUGCAGAGCCUGGUGCCUGGUGCAGAGUCAGGUGUUGAGUGCAGAGGUAGGUGUGUCCGGCCUCCUGGGGAGGCAACCGGCCUUACAGCUUAAUCUUAUUUUAU